GAUCCUGGCUCAGAUUUAACGCUGGCGGCAGGCCUAACACAUGCAAGUCGAACGGUAACAGGAAGAAGCUUGCUUCUUUGCUGACGAGUGGCGGACGGGUGAGUAAUGUCUGGGAAACUGCCUGAUGGAGGGGGAUAACUACUGGAAACGGUAGCUAAUACCGCAUAACGUCGCAAGACCAAAGAGGGGGGACCCUUCGGGCCUCUUGCCAUCGGAUGUGCCCAGAUGGGAUUAGCUUGUUGGUGGGGUAACGG
rnacentral:rRNA from 1 species